CUUGGAUGGGCUCGCGGCCUAUCAGCUUGUUGGUGGGGUGAUGGCCUACCAAGGCGACGACGGGUAGCCGGCCUGAGAGGGUGACCGGCCACACUGGGACUGAGACACGGCCCAGACUCCUACGGGAGGCAGCAGUGGGGAAUAUUGCACAAUGGGCGCAAGCCUGAUGCAGCGACGCCGCGUGGGGGAUGACGGCCUUCGGGUUGUAAACCCCUUUCGGCAGGGAACAAGCCGCUUCGGUGGUGAGGGUACCUGCGGAAGAAGCGCCGGCUAACUACGUGCCAGCAGCCGCGGUAAUACGUAGGGCGCGAGCGUUAUCCGGAAUUAUUGGGCGUAAAGAGCUCGUAGGCGGUUUGUCGCGUCUGCUGUGAAAGCCCGGGGCUCAACCCCGGGUCUGCAGUGGGUACGGGCAGGCUGGAGUGCAGUAGGGGAGACUGGAAUUCCUGGUGUAGCGGUGAAAUGCGCAGAUAUCAGGAGGAACACCGAUGGCGAAGGCAGGUCUCUGGGCUGUAACUGACGCUGAGGAGCGAAAGCAUGGGGAGCGAACAGGAUUAGAUACCUGGUAGUCCAUGCCGUAAACGUUGGGCACUAGGUGUGGGGGCCAUUCCACGGUUUCCGCGCCGCAGCUAACGCAUUAAGUGCCCCGCCUGGGGAGUACGGCCGCAAGGCUAAAACUCAAAGGAAUUGACGGGGGCCCGCACAAGCGGCGGAGCAUGCGGAUUAAUUCGAUGCAACGCGAAGAACCUUACCAAGGCUUGACAUGUGCCGGACCGUCCCAGAGAUGGGGCUUCCCUUCGGGGCCGGUUCACAGGUGGUGCAUGGUUGUCGUCAGCUCGUGUCGUGAGAUGUUGGGUUAAGUCCCGCAACGAGCGCAACCCUCGUUCCAUGUUGCCAGCACUUCGGGUGGGGACUCAUGGGAGACUGCCGGGGUCAACUCGGAGGAAGGUGGGGACGACGUCAAAUCAUCAUGCCCCUUAUGUCUUGGGCUUCACGCAUGCUACAAUGGCCGGUACAAAGGGUUGCGAUACUGUGAGGUGGAGCCAAUCCCAGAAAGCCGGUCUCAGUUCGGAUUGGGGUCUGCAACUCGGCCCCAUGAAGUCGGAGUCGCUAGUAAUCGCAGAUCAGCAACGCUGCGGUGAAUACGUUCCCGGGCCUUGUACACACCGCCCGUCAAGUCACGAAAGU
rnacentral:rRNA from 1 species